UCAUACCAGAGAACCACCUCUCCUCCGCCUCCGCCAACAGAAACAUUUGCCAGCUGGAGGAGCGCGAGGAAAGCACGGGACGGAGGAGGCCGCCGUGGGAGAAGGAGGAGCCGUUUGACUCGAUUCUCACCAGAAGAGGCCGGAGGGAGG